UUGUUUUAGAUUCUGUCCCUCACAGUUGAAGAGUACAUAUGAUAAAAAUGACGGACUUCUACAUGCUAGGUGCCAAGUCCUGUUGGAAAAUGAAAUCUGCAUCUCCAUAAAGUUGGUAUGAAGUGCUCUAAAACUUCCUGGUAGACGGCUGCGUUGACCUUGGACCUCAGAAAACACAGUGGACCAACACCAGCAGAUGACAUGGCACCCCAAACCAUCACUGACUGUGGAAACUUUACACUGGACUUUCUGUGCCUCUCCUCUCUUCCUCCAGACUCUGGGACCUUGAUUUCCAAAGGAAAUCAUAACUAAACUUAACAAAUUGCCGUUAUUAUUACUCUGUUCAAGUUUUGUGGUUUGCUGCAGAUCGGCGUGGGGUUUGUCCAAGUCCUGUGGCCGUACCCCAGCCGUCUGUCGAUUGCUGUUGGUAGUGAGUGUCAUCAUGAACAAGAGGAAGGGUGGCAGUCACAUUCAUCAGUUUUUUGGGCAGCCUCAGAAAUGUUGAGAGCAGUGAGAAAAUGAGUCAGAUGAUAACUAGGCAGUAGUACA
ensembl:lncRNA